rnacentral:rRNA from 1 species
CUCGGUCCGGGCGCGUGGCGCGGUGGCUGAUUAGCUAGUUGGUGAGGUAAAGGCUUACCAAGGCGACGAUCAGUAGCUGGUCUGAGAGGACGACCAGCCACACUGGGACUGAGACACGGCCCAGACUCCUACGGGAGGCAGCAGUGGGGAAUUUUGGACAAUGGGGGAAACCCUGAUCCAGCCAUGCCGCGUGAGUGAAGAAGGCCUUCGGGUUGUAAAGCUCUUUCAGCCGGAACGAAACGGUCACGGCUAAUACCUGUGACCACUGACGGUACCGGAAGAAGAAGCACCGGCUAACUACGUGCCAGCAGCCGCGGUAAUACGUAGGGUGCGAGCGUUAAUCGGAAUUACUGGGCGUAAAGCGUGCGCAGGCGGUUUUGUAAGUCAGAUGUGAAAUCCCCGGGCUUAACCUGGGAACUGCGUUUGAACAA